rnacentral:lncRNA from 1 species
UUCAAUCUCCGUGUUUCAACCAUAGAGAUAUACAGUAUAGAGUGCCUUCUUUAGAAAAGGAUCAAAACAUUCAGUUAUUAUGUCAACAUAAGCCUUUCUGUGGCGAAUAAUAUUCCUAAUAAAUUAAUAAUUAGUUAUAAAAUAACCUUCUAAUUUUUACACAAGGAGUUUGGUAUUAGGUCAAUGUAUUUCUAUUAACCUUGGUAUUAGAUAAGUUUAUCGUAGUGGAUAUAAUUGGAACUUGAUGCAUUCUUAUUAUUUUAUUCGUAGAGUUCAAUGCCUGCUUGCAUUGCAUUAAAUCGUACUUCAAGAACUGAGUUGUUUUCUAGAUCCCUAGAGCACGAUCAUUCAAGUGAAUCGUUGAAAAAAUGUGAACUCAACCACAAUAAAAUGAAAAUAAGCUUUUUUCCGGAGUAACCAUCUACUUUCAGAUUUCCUAAAAAUCCAGCGUUUCUAAAGCAAAGCAGAGUAAACUGCCGUCGCCAAGAUUGGAAACCAACCAAAUGGUCUAGAAUAUGUUCUAAGCACUUCAAGGACUCUGACAUCAUCAAGCACAAAGUUAAGUGCACGCUUGGUGAUGGAGCAGUACCCUCAAUUAUCGACUUCCCAAUGUACUUAAAAAAAAGUAGAGUCCGAUCGACGAACCUUAAAGCGAAGAGCCUAUGAAGAAGACAGUACUAUAAAAAGGAAUUCUGAUGCCAUGAUUGAAAAAAGGCCAAUUGUAAAUAUUGUCAUUGAUCAUACAUAUGCUCUACCUAGUGCUAUGGUAUCCUUGGGGGGGAGGUGACAAAAAGAGACAUUAUGAUUCUUUCCGAAAAAAAUGAACUUCUUUCAACACAUUUAAAGGCUUAACAAUUAAAAAUAAAAUUAUUUGUCAAUGCAAACGAAGCCUUCAGAAGCGGAUAACCAAUGCUAAAGAUUCAUGUCGCCAUUUAACAAAAAAAAAAAAAAAAUCAAAAUCUGGUUUCAGGAUUAAGUGUCUACUAUAACAUCUUAGUUUCCAAAAGAGCUCUUUCAUCGUAUGAUCCAUAAUAAAAAAUGGAAAUUAUAACAAGAAAAUAAUACUCAAAGGAAUUAAAAGCAAUUUGCAUUGACUGUACAGUUAUGAUUAUGUCCGAAGGACUUUCAGCAUGGCAUUGCCUCAUCCUUCUAUCAUUAGAACCUGUUAUGGAUCGAUUGAUGGUUCUCCUGGAUUUACUCUAGAGUUAUUUGAAGCAUUAAGAAUACGAGCUCAGUAACAAGAAAGCGCCAAUGGCGAAAAAAUCUAUUGCAACCUCACUCUAGAUGAAAUGAGUAUAAAGAAAAUGAUUGAUUUUGAUGGCAGUAAUGGGUCCGUGGAUAUUGGCACAGGAGUGCCCUGCCUCAGAGGUUCUUGUACUGAUGGUUGCUAUCAAAAACUUUUAUGAUCCAUGGAUUAUCUGAGCAAAAUUUGGCAAAAGACAAAUUUGGUUCGUACGGCUUUGAGUAAUGUGUAUGAUACGGGUAUAAUCUUUCCUAGUAUUACAUGUGAUGGACCCUCUUACAACGCCCUUGUAGCUGUUCUCUGUCCAAAUAAUAUGGAAACUACGUUUCCUCAUCCUUCCAAUCCUGAAAUCAAGAUAGCAGUUAUAUUUGAUAUUUGCCAUAUGAUGAAGCUCGCGCGGAAAACAUUUGCAUCCUUUGGUGUUAAGAAAAAUCAGAAAGGAGAGGAUAUUCGUUGGAGAUUUAUCAAUGAACUAUACUUAUUUCAGAAACAUGAAGGUUUGAAUGCUGAAACGAAGUUGCAAAAAAACUGACAUUGAAUGGAGAAGAAUGAAAAUGAAAGUAAAUUUGGCAUGUCAAACACUUCCAAGAAGUGUAGCAGAUGCUUUGGAUAUGCUCUCAAAGGAUUUUCAAGACAAAGCAUUUUCGAACUGUACGGCUACAGUUGAGUUCAUUAGAAUAUUUGAAGCCUUAUUUGACAUUUUUAACUCUCGGAAUAUAUUAGGAAGCUCAUCUAAGGCCCCAUUUAUAUGAUUUUUGGCGCGCUCUCGUGGAAUCAAGCUACGACUAUAUCAAAGAAUUUAAAAACUGCAGUGGUCAAAAAGUUGUUGAUACAAUGCAAAACCACAGGAUAUGUUGGAUUCUUGAUUACAAUUCAUAGUUUUAUGCACUUAUAUAAUUCUCUUAUAAAAACAAAUUAUCUAAAAUAUAUUCUAACAUUAAA